AAACCCUGAACAAGCAACGCCGCGUGAAGGACGAAGACCUCGGGUUGUAAACUCUGUCGGAGGGGACGAAAGCGGUCGAGGCUAAUAUCCUCGGCCGUUGAACGGUACCCUACGAGGAAGCCCCGGCUAACUCCGUGCCAGCAGCCGCGGUAAUACGGGGGGGCAAGCGUUGUUCGGAAUUACUGGGCGUAAAGGGCGCGUAGGCGGGCGGACAAGUCUCUCGUGAAAGCCCACGGCUCAACCGUGGAAUUGCGGGAGAUACUGUCUGUCUUGAGUCCGGGAGAGGAGGGUGGAAUUCCCAGUGUAGCGGUGAAAUGCGUAGAUAUUGGGAGGAACACCGGUGGCGAAGGCGGCUCUCUGGACCGGUACUGACGCUGAGGCGCGAAAGCUAGGGGAGCAAACGGGAUUAGAUACCCCGGUAGUCCUAGCCGUAAACGAUGAGCACUUGGUGUGGCGGGUAUCGACCCCCGCCGUGCCGAAGCUAACGCAUUAAGUGCUCCGCCUGGGGAGUACGGUCGCAAGGCUG
rnacentral:rRNA from 1 species